rnacentral:rRNA from 1 species
AUUGAACGCUGGCGGCAGGCCUAACACAUGCAAGUCGAACGAGUGGCGGACGGGUGAGUAAUGUCUGGGAAACUGCCUGAUGGAGGGGGAUAACUCCUGGAAACGGUAGCUAAUACCGCAUACCAUCGGAUGUGCCCAGAUGGGAUUAGCUAGUAGGUGGGGUAAAGGCUCACCUAGGCGACGAUCCCUAUCUGGUAUGAGAGGAUGACCAGCCAUACUGGAACUUAGACACGGUCCAGACUCCUACGGGAGGCAGCCGUGGGGAAUAUUGCACAAUGGGCGCAAGCCUGAUGCAGCCAUGCCGCGUGUAUGAAGAAGGCCUUCGGGUUGUAAAGUACUUUCAGCUGGGAGGCGUUACCCGCAGAAGAAGCACCGGCUAACUCCGUGCCAGCAGCCGCGGUAAUAC